UACGUAGGGAGCAAGCGUUGUCCGGAAUCAUUGGGCGUAAAGCGUGCGUUGGUGGCCACAUAAGUCCGUUGUGAAAGUCAAAGGCUCAACCUUUGAAAGCCGAUGGAUACUGUGUGGCUAGAGUACGGAAGAGGCGAGUGGAAUUCCUGGUGUAGCGGUGGAAUGCGCAGAUAUCAGGAGGAACACCAAUAGCGAAGGCAGCUCGCUGGGACGUUACUGACACUGAGGCGCGAAAGCGUGGGGAGCGAACAGG
rnacentral:rRNA from 1 species